rnacentral:lncRNA from 1 species
GGCGGCGGGCCGACAGCGCCGGGGCCGAGCGGACCAGGCAGGCUGCGCGCUCGGUGUGGACGGGAAAAGAAAAGGAGUUGCUUGAUGUGAGAGUGAAAUGGACGUAAGAUUUUAUCCUCCUCCAGCCCAGCCCGCUGCUGCGCCCGCCGCUCCUUGUCUGGGACCUUCUCCCUGCCUGGACCCCUACUAUUGCAACAAGCGGGGGCUCGUGGCAUCGCUUCCUUGCUCCGGAUCACUUGCCAGAGGAGCAGCUAGGAGUCGGGGUGCAGGGACCCCGGAGGAUCCGGCGUUCCCACACCGUGAAAAUUAUUCUGUAACUCUUUUGUUUUCUGUUCCGGCCGCCGAACUGGAGUUCGGACGCUGGCCCUCGAGACCAGGACGCUGUGGGCUAGUCGCAUUAUGAUUUGGGGGAACAGAUCUCGUUUGGGGGGUGUGGGGUGUGGAAAUAGCAAGUUUACAGGAAGCCAAGCUAGCGCUUUGCAUUCAAGUGUAAAGCUCCGACGCUCUUUGCCUGGCUGAAGCAGGAGUUUCUAGGGAAGUAAUUGCUCUCCUGGCUUCAUGCACGCAAAACCUGAGAGGGACACGGAGGGACCGGAGGGAUCGUCUCCAAGAGCAGCCACAGGCCACAUCUCUCCUCUCCUGGGGCUUGGUGGAUUUGUCUAAGCAGUCCUAGCUGAUAGAGGUUGCUGGGGACAAGAAGGUCUCUGAAAUGCAUGGCAAGCCUUUUGGACUCCCAGUUCUUGCUUGAUAAAAACCCCCGGCAGAUUCUUCCAGUCCUUUCAGGCACUUCACUGACAAGUAGAUUAAUUCUUUGGGGAAAGUCUUUGAAACUCCCAACAUUUGUCUCCUGAGGAGUCCUCACUUUAAAACGUGAUGUAGAGGUGUUUAGCACCCCUGCCUCCUGGACUCUCUACUACCAUACAGGCUAGUAGUUCUCAGCUCUCAGUCUUGAUUAUUACACACACACACACACACACACACACACACACACACACACACACACACACACAGCUGUGAGUUACAAAGCCUACAGUCACGCCACAGAGAAGCAACUGGGUGCCAUGUCCACUGUAAUAUUCAGUAAGAGUUGUGAGCAAAGGUUAGUAGUUAGGCAAAGGGGUAAUACAGGUCUUGAGGCCAGGGGCAAGUUGAACUUCAGCACGCACAGCAAAGUUGGUGAAAUGAAGUUUUACACUGCUGCUAACACCAUUCUUGCAGCCUAGAAUAUAUUUUGACUUUAGAACUAAGGGCUUUAUGCUUGAUAUUUUUCCCCCCUGAUAACCAGAAUACCGUUACUUUUUUCUUUAAAGUAGAAAGUCUGUCUUGGAGAUUAAAGACCUGUUCUGUAGUUGUUACCAGAAUCAAAAGAUUGACACCAUUUUUGGCAAUAAAACUAUACAAGUCCUAUUACAUUUAUCAGUGAAUUUGGGUUCCAAAAAAGAAGGUAAUGACUUGAAUACACAUUUCACUCAUUAUUUCUGUGAUAGUAGGGUCAGAUUUAAUUUAAAAGUUAAAUGCUUUGGAAAAUCAGGAAUUACUUCAAUAUAUUAAAUCAUUUUCCAAUUUAAGUGCCUUAAAUAAUUUUAGAGGGUUGUGCUGUGAAUUGAAUGAAUUAAUUUUGAAAGUCUUCACCAUUUCUUUACUAGUCCAUUGAAGUUCCUUUUAAGUCACCCUGUGUGUAAGAAGCAAACUGUUCUUUUUAAAUGCAAAUUAGCCAUCCUUUCUAUAGACUAGUUGUAAGACUUCUAUUUAACUUAGAUGGGGAAUAAUGGAUUUUUAAAAAUGCAAAGUCAUAAGACUUGUUUCUUCUAGUAGAAAAAUACCUCCUGGAAAGGUUUCUCUAGGGACUCUUUCCCUAUCCAUCUCUGUGCCACAGUCUAUCAAAUAUAUUUGUCACUGCUUCUUGAUUGUACUAAACACACUGAGAAGGUUUCAAGAUCCCACAAAGCCCAGGCACUUGUUCCCUACCCCAUGGUGAUUUGCACUGGUGUAAAAUUCCUGCCUAGUUCCACUAUUUGAAUUGCUUAGGACCGAGACAAUCAGUGCUCAUUUAGCAGUGAGGUGUAGGGAGAUGUGAAAGAAGGGGAGAAGUUUGGAAAGAUGAAAAAAAUAAAUCUGUAUCUAUAUUUAGCAAAAUCCUGUUGGAUCAGGCUUCCCCAUAGAGAUAGAUUGCAAAGUAAACCUGUUUUCCUUCUGAGCUGUAAUGAAUACACAGUUUAUUUUAAAUAACAGUCACUUUGUUGGGUUAUUUGUUUUUAACAGGUUGAUAAGAUCAUAAAUUACUAAUUAUCUUUAUUUUAAACCUGUCAACACUAUACUGUUUAAAGUUGGUGUGCUAAGUCCCAUUGGAACCAUAACUUUCUGUGCUUUGGUGUCUCACAAAAUGUAAAUAUAGUUUUCUGGUGGCACUUUUUUUUUCAAUGUCAGAAGAGACCCUAAUUGAGAAAAUGAAUAUCCUCUUUCUGAGCUUUUCUGAAUUGAAAUGUGGUUGUUUUACUCUGCUGACACUUCCCAGAUCCUCUGUUCUGUACAGUGCCAAAACACUAUUUAGAUUUCUCAGUUAAUAAACUCUGUAGGAGGCACAUUUAGAAGCAGUUUAACCCAGUGGUCUUUUGUAAGAGCUCCAUCCACGAUGAACAUACCACAGUGCAAACUGGCCUUUACAUUCACGUAGCCCACUGGGGGAACCAGGCAAACGACAUCGCUUAUGGCAAGUGUGUGAGGCCAUCCCCUCCCUUAGACAAACUGCUAGAACUGGUGGCAUGGUGCGUGCUUUAUGUAGGUCAGCUUUUGAAAGAGCAGUGGAGAUCAGAGACCGGCCAGAGGCAUGUAGGAUGGAGGGAACAGCUUUCACUUCUUGCAACUGAAAGCACAGUUCUAUUGUAGACACUGAAAGAUGGGUACCAGAUCAGAGUUUCAUCCAAUUAGACUAUUUUAAGUAACAGUGUAUCCCUUAAUUGAACUGAAUGUUACCAAAGAAAUUAGAUUAAAUGAGCUCCCAAUUGGAGUGCUGCAGCAAAAUACAGUCCCCCCUUUUUUUGUUCUAGUUGAAGAUGUCAAAUCAUCAUUUUGAACAUAUACCUACAGGAAUAAUAACAGCUUUCAGUUUCUUAGUGUAGUGUCAUUUCUAAAGACCGUUUUUACAGAUUUUAUGCUAAAAUGGGACAAAGACAUGGCACGUUUUAUUUUUGCGGUGAUGUGAUGUGUUCAGUUACUGCUCAGUAUCUGCCCACGUGAGGAGCACUAAUAAAAUUACGUGCUAGCUUGGCUAAUGAUAGGGGUACUGACCUUGUCCAGCUGUGGGAGGGGAGUCAUAGGCUUCACUGCUCACAAGAGUUGCUUUUAUGUCCUGAGUCAUCCAUUGGUGGAUUUAAAAACUGGGAGCCCCGCACAUAAACUCAGGCUUAAUACUAGCUACAUGCAAAGUAAAGAAUUGUGGCCACUUGAAAUCCUGUGCUUUUGGAUUGCAACGGAAAAUGAAUACUCUUUCCAUGAAGAAUCAAAAGGAAGGAUCAUUUGUGGACAGAUGUUACACCUGUGAUAACUUUUGAGUAAUACACUAUUAAUC